AGUUUUAAUAUUAUUGGCUGUGGUGCGUUUGUCUGGGGUCGGAUUUUAAAACGGAUGGUGUUGAAACGUCUGUGGAUCUUUUCUCUAUCCAUUGCUGGUGUCGGUGUUUUGAUGCGUUUGUUUGUAAGGUCAGAAAACGCACUUGAGUCUAGGGUAUCAAUCUGAGAACGGUCCCAAAACAGAGAAAUUGGAAGAGAAUAGUUUUGACGUUUUUGGCCAUAGCACGAUUGUUUGGGGUCGGAUUUUAAAACGGAUGGUGUUGAAACGUGUGUGGAUUUUUUCUCUAUCCAUUGGUGGUAUCGGUGUUUUAAUGUAUUUGUUUGUAAGGUCAGAAAACGCACUUGAGUCUAGGGUAUCAAUCUGAGAAUGGUCCCAAAACAGAGAUUAUCGAGGAGAAAUGAUUUUACAUUUUUGGAUGUAGUGCGUUUGUCUGGGGGUCGGAUUUUAAAACGGAUGGUGUUGAAACGUGUGUGGAUCUUUUCUCUAUCCAUUGCUGGUGUCGGUGUUUUGAUGUGUUUGUUUGUAAGGUCAGAAAACGCACUUGAGUCUAGGGUAUCAAUCUGAGAACGGUCCCAAAACAGAGAUUAUCGAGGAGAAAUGAUUUUACAUUUUUGGCCGUAGUGCGUUUGUCUGGGGUCAGAAUUUAAAACGGAUGGUGUUGAAACGUCUGUGGAUCUUUUCUCUAUCCAUUGGUGGUGUCGGUGUUUUGAUGCGUUUGUUUGUAAGGUCAGAAAACGCACUUGAGUCUAGGGUAUCAAUCUGAGAACGGUCCCAAAACAGAGAAAUUGGAAGAGAAUAGUUUUUACGUUUUCAGUCAUAGCGUGUUUGUUUGGGGUCGGAAUUUAAAACGGAUGGUGUUGAAACGUGUGUGGAUUUUUUCUCUAUCGAGUGGUGCUGUCGGUGUUUUAAUGUGUUUGUUUGUAAGGUCAGAAAACGCACUUUAGUCUAGGGUAUCAAUCUGAGAACGGUCCCAAAACAGAGAUUAUCGAGGAGAAAUGAUUUUACGUUUUUGGAUGUAGUGCGUUUGUUUUGGGUCGGAUUUUAAAACGGAUGGUGUUGAAACGUCUGUGGAUCUUUUCUCUAUCCAUUGGUGGUGUCGGUGUUUUAAUGUGUUUGUUUGUAAGGUCAGAAAACGCACUUGAGUCUAGGGUAUCAAUCUGAGAACGGUCCCAAAACAGAGAAAUUGGAAGAGAAUAGUUUUUACGUUUUCAGUCAUACCGUGUUUGUUUGGGGUCGGAUUUUAAAACGGAUGGUGUUGAAACGUCUGUGGAUCUUUUCUCUAUCCACUGGUGGUGUCGGUGUUUUGAUGUGUUUGUUUGUAAGGUCAGAAAACGCACUUGAGUCUAGGGUAUCAGUCUGAGAACGGUCCCAAAACAGAGAAAUUGGAAGAGAAUAGUUUUGACAUUUUUGGCCGUAGUGCGAUUGUUUGGGGUCGGAAUUUAAAACGGAUGGUGUUGAAACGUGUGUGGAUUUUUUCUCUAUCGAGUGGUGCUGUCGGUGUUUUAAUGUGUUUGUUUGUAAGGUCAGAAAACGCACUUUAGUCUAGGGUAUCAAUCUGAGAACGGUCCCAAAACAGAGAUUAUCGAGGAGAAAUGAUUUUACGUUUUUGGCUGUAGUGCGUUUGUUUUGGGUCGGAUUUUAAAACGGAUGGUGUUGAAACGUGUGUAGAUCUUUUCUCUAUCCAUUGGUGGUGUCGGUGUUUUGAUGCGUUUGUUUGUAAGGUCAGAAAACGCACUCGAGUCUAGGGUAUCAAUCUGAGAACGGUCCCAAAACAGAGAUUAUCGAGGAGAAAUGAUUUUACGUUUUUGGAUGUAGUGCGUUUGUUUG